rnacentral:antisense_RNA from 1 species
AAUAGACAGCAAAAAGGUAAACGUUUGCCUGAAAUCCGCACGCCAGCUCCACCACCCCGCCCGAUGGUCCCAGUUCCUCUGGGAAUCAUCCUGUAUGCAACAUCUUCACAAGAGUGGCAGGCAGUUGAAUCUCUGGCCUUCGUGGGACCACUGGACAUCUGGCAGAGAACCAGGAAACCACGGUUCCCUUCUGUGAGUCCCUCAGCCGGAAAACUACAAGAUGAGUGUAAGGCCAUUAUCAUGGACUUUUUCCCCAGCUGCAGGUGAUGGUCUUGUUUUCCCAAGCUGCUACAGAGCUUCUGCAGCUCCAAGCAUGACCACUAUAUUUGGCUGCUUAAAAGCAUGACAAGGGCAGAAAUCAUAAAGGCUUUGCCCAGAGGGCCUUGAUUGUCCUUGCCUUCUUGUCCUUUGGUGAGAACUUCAUUGGUGGUGGCUCUAAAAAUCAGGAGACUUUCUGUGAUGAAUUCACCAUAAGAACGUGGGACCCAGCCUCCCUUGAAGGACGUCCUAUAUGAUGCCUGUUUCCAAGGGAAGAAGCAAAGUCAAGAA